AGAGUUUUUGCUAAAAGCAGCUAGGAAGCCCCACGGCUCCAGUGUGCGUGAACUCCUGGUAAUUUCCUUGGGGAAUCCCGCCUCAGAGAACCUCUACCCCGAGAAUUAGGAGGAAGCUGAGCUAGGCUGACUUGAGGAAAGAGAGCUGGAGGAGCGGGAUGGAGUUUCACUUACAUCCAGGCUGGAAUGCAGUGGCGUGAUCUUGGCUCACUGGAACCUCCACCUCCUGGGUUCAAGCAAUUCUCGUGCUUCAGCCUCCCGAGUAGCUGGGAUUAUAGGUACGCUCUUUCAUGCCCAGCUAAUUUUUGUAUUUGUAGUACAGAUGGGGUUUUGCCAUGUUGGCCAGGCUGGUCUUGAACUCCUGGCCUCAAGUGAUCUGCCUGCCUCAGCCUCCCAAAGUGCUGGGAUUACAGGUGUGAGCCACCAUGCCCAACCUCAUUUAUUUAUUCGUGUGUGUGUGUGUGUGUGUGUGUGUGUGUGUGUGUGUAUAACUGCCUAAUAGCUUAUACCUUAAGAGAGCCUUAAAUAGUAUAAGAAAGAAAAGAUAAACAAAGGGCAAGACUGUCACAUCUGUGUGGCUACAAAAGGAAAAUAUUCCUUACACAGCAUAUUUCCUACAUGAUUGACAAAGCUAGCAAUCUGCAUUCAAAAGCAUGUAGCCCAUGUACCACAGGCUACAUACAGGCUCUCAGGCUAAUGAUCAGAAUAACAAUUAUGAGUAACUUUUCCCGAAUGCUUACUAAGUGCCAGGCACUACACUAAGUGUUGUUUUGUUUUGUUUUGUUUUUGAGACAGAGUCUCACUGUGUCACCCAGGCUGGAGUGCAGUGGUGAGAUCUUGGAUCACUGCAACCUCCUCCCAGGUUCAAGCGAUUCUCCUGCCUCAGCCACCCAAGUAGCUGGGAUUACAGGCGUGUACCACCAUGCCCAGCUACUUUUUGUGUUUUUAGUAGAGACCGGGUUUCACUAUGUUGGCCAGGAUGGUCUAAAACUCCUGACCUAAGGUGAUCCACCUGCCUCAGCCUCCCAAAGUGCUGGGAUGACAGGCAUGAGCCACUGUGCCCGGCCUUACACUAAGUGUUUUGCAUAAUGUUAUAUGCCUUGUUUAAUCCUCAUUUUUCGAAGGAGGCUCCUGAGACUCACAGAAGUGAGCUGCACAGAGUCAUGUGAUUGAUAAGUGGUUAAGCUGAGGUUCAAAUACAGGCCACUGAAUUUCAAACUAAAAACCCACAAUCAUUCCAGGCACCACCUUAAAGUUCUACUUAUAAGGGGCCAGCGAGUGGCACACGGCCCAGGACGAAAAAGUGAGUGAGGAUAUUCAAACACAAGUCACAUCACGACAUGGCAAAAACAGAAAAACUUUGAUGUUCUCCAUCUGUUCUUCAGACAGAGAGCUCAAACAUAAGAGAGUAGGGCUCAACUUUAAGACAGAAACUGCCCAGCACCAUCUGCAGGUGGAUUGCAUUGUUUGGGGAGGCAGUCACAUGACCCAGAUCUGCUUCCUGCCUCUGCUUGCAGAAGUCUAACACUCUGAGGGCUAACACCAAUCCUGCUUGCAGGAUUCUAACACUCUGAGGCUCCGAGGUUGUUAAAGUCCCUGUCUCCCACACUACCAACCCCACUGUCAGCUUGACCAUGAGUGAAUGCCUUCACCAAUGUAUAGAAAGGACCUUGCUAAUAGGAAAAAAGAUGAGCCUGGAGCCUAAACAGGAAGGCUUUCUCUUCCACGGAUUGGAAGCACCGCUAAAGAAGCUGGCUGACUUGUGAGGUUCGGGGAUAACGAAGUAUGAAUGUACAGCUCCGGGUACUGUGCUUGGAGCAUAUGAAACAUGCAACACAUGACUAGUGUUGUUAUACAGUUUUCAUUCCCACAGUCUCUAACAAAAUAUAGUCAUACGUCUUUUUUUAAAAAGACGUGUUGGAUUCUAGUGCUGAGAAGAAGAGAAGCUACCACUAAUAUAGCAUGAGAGAGUGGCAGACAGAGAGAUCCCUGGGGACCCACAUUUUUCAGGGAGAAACCCCAAUUCUUUCUGCCCUUCAAGCAGUGGCACACAGCAGAAAGUGAAAUCAUUCAUUGGACAGCUUGAUUGGAAACUGUGAUUUAUAUUACAGGGAUCUUUUUGCCACAAUAGCCUAAUCUAAAUCAGGCCAUUAUUUCAUACAAGCCAUUAUUUCAUAAAGUUUUACAUUUUAACCUGUAACUCAGGUACCAAGUUUCCUCAAGCUACACAUUCCCACUCAUCAACAAUAUCAUUGGUUUGACAUUAUACAUACAAAAAGAGCAAUUUUUUAAGAAAAACAGUUAUAAGCUGAUACAUCAUUUUCAACACACCCUAUAUAUAAAGUUGCUGUGUUUCAGAGGUUAUUUGGAUUAUUUUAAUCUAUUGAAAAAAAAAGCUAACACGACACUUUUGGACAGUUCAGCCUCCUUUUUCUUUGCUUUGAUGGUGUUCUUUUCUCCUUUUCUCCCUCUAGUUUUUAUCUCUGUUCAAAAGCAAGAUUUUAAAUCCUGUAAGUAGAAAUUGGAACAACUUCUGGGCUUUGCACAGCACCUAGCUAGUUCUUCAGGAUAUUCUUUGUUCUAUUUUUUAACAUACAUUUUUAAAGGUAAUAAUAAACUAAACUUUGACCUUUAAAAUCUUCAAAUAAAUCAAUCAGCAGAGAAAUAACUAGGUAAAGAGCAGAAUGGAAAACAAUCAAACAAGGCUGGAAAGUCAUAGAAAAUUCCUAAAAUUGUGUGUUUGUAUGUGUGUGUGUGUGUGUGUGCAUGUUGUUGUUCUUAUUGUUCAUUUGUAUAUGUGUGAUUUGAGCAACAUUUGAGAAAAAAAAAAUAAGAAAAUGAGGAA
rnacentral:lncRNA from 1 species